rnacentral:lncRNA from 1 species
UCCUGCUCCAGUAGCACGAUGUGAGCCACCAACAAGGAGGGACGCCAAUAAGGUGUCCGAUAAGAUAAGUAUUAUAAAAUAUAUAGAUUUAUGAUAGUUAAGACUGAGCUAACAGAUGAGGAAUCCUAGUCAUUGGCCAAGCAGCUUUAAACCUAAUACAAGUUUCUGUGUAUUUAUUUGGGCCUAACUCAGGCGGGCAGCUUGUGUAAUGCGUACACAUGGCGGUGGGGCUCGGUGGCAUUUGGCACAAAGAUUUAUCGUAAUAUAACAAAGACACAAGCAGACCAAGAACCACCCUUUUCCUCCAAAACCUCAGAUAAGUGUUUUAAAAUCUACCAAUCAGCUACUCCUGACACAAUUCCCAGAAUGCAUCUUGCCAGCUUUUGCUGUCUGCUGUGGGUUCAGAAAGCAACUCAAUGACAUUUCAACAAAACCUGAAGAAAAUCUUUGACACAGUAGCCAGGAAGAGCCAGCUCAGGAGCUUCUUGACUUCCAGAUCUUCUUGUGACAAUGCAAAAUUUCAGACUCAGAGAAAGUAUCAAUCAGAAGUCACACUACUAGUGUUAAGUGAUGGAGCCAGGAUUCUCAUUUGGCUAUUCUGAGAUCUGGGAUCUUUGUAAUAUUAUGUGUUCAAUUCUUUGCCAUAAACCUUUAUAAGCCCAAUGUGUA